rnacentral:rRNA from 1 species
GGUGAACGCUGGCGGUAGGCCUAACACAUGCAAGUCGAACGGCAGCACAGGAGAGCUUGCUCUCUGGGUGGCGAGUGGCGGACGGGUGAGGAAUACAUCGGAAUCUGCCCAGUCGUGGGGGAUAACGUAGGGAAACUUACGCUAAUACCGCAUACGACCUUCGGGUGAAAGAGGGGGAUCGCAAGACCUCUCGCGAUUGGAUGAGCCGAUGUCGGAUUAGCUAGUUGGCGGGGUAAUGGCCCACCAAGGCGACGAUCCGUAGCUGGUCUGAGAGGAUGAUCAGCCACACUGGAACUGAGACACGGUCCAGACUCCUACGGGAGGCAGCAGUGGGGAAUAUUGGACAAUGGGCGCAAGCCUGAUCCAGCCAUACCGCGUGGGUGAAGAAGGCCUUCGGGUUGUAAAGCCCUUUUGUUGGGAAAGAAAUCUUUCGGGCUAAUACCCUGGGAGGAUGACGGUACCCAAAGAAUAAGCACCGGCUAACUUCGUG